rnacentral:rRNA from 1 species
AUUGAACGCUGGCGGCAGGCCUAACACAUGCAAGUCGAACGAGUGGCGGACGGGUGAGUAAUAUCUGGGAAACUGCCUGAUGGAGGGGGAUAACUACUGGAAACGGUAGCUAAUACCGCAUACCAUCAGAUGUGCCCAGAUGGGAUUAGCUAGUUGGUGGGGUAACGGCUCACCAAGGCGACGAUCCCUAGCUGGUCUGAGAGGAUGACCAGCAACACUGGAACUGAGACACGGUCCAGACUCCUACGGGAGGCAGGAGUGGGGAAUAUUGCACAAGGGGCGGAAGCCUGAUGCAGACAUGCCGCGUGUAUGAAGAAGGCCUUCGGGUUGUAAAGUACUUUAAGCGGGGAGGCGUUACCCGCAGAAGAAGCACCGGCUAACUCCGUGCCAGCAGCCGCGGUAAUAC